rnacentral:pre_miRNA from 11 species
UCCCCAAGAAUUUGGGUGGUUGUAAAUCCUGGACGAGCCCCCAACUGAAAGAACUCCAGAGUGGGGAGACCUCAUUCAAGUUGGGAUAAGCUGAUACCCCAAUAAUUCAAGAGAGAUG